AAUGAACGCUGGCGGUAUGCCUAACACAUGCAAGUCGAACGACAACACAGUAAGAUUUUGCUUUUACGGGUGGCGGCUGGCGGACGAGUAACGAAUACAUCACAAACUACUUUUACUGGGAGGACAACGUAGGGCAACUUACGCUAAUACAUCAUACGUCCUACGGGUGAAAGCAGGGGAUAUAGGCACUUUUCGCGAUUCAUAGAGCCGAUGUCGGAUUAGCUAGUUGGGUGGGUAAAGGCCCACCAAGGCAACGAUCCGUAGCUGAGCUGAGAGGAUGAUCAGCCACACUGGAACUGAGACACGGUCCAGACUCCUACGGGAGGCAGCAGUGGGGAAUAUUGGGCAAUGGGCGCAAGCCUGAUGCAGCCAUACCGCGUGGGUGAAGAAGGCCUUCGGGUUGUAAAGCCCUUUUGUUGGGAAAGAAAAGAAGCAGGUUAAUACCUCGCUGUUCUGACGGUACCCAAAGAAUAAGCACCGGCUAACUUCGUG
rnacentral:rRNA from 1 species